AGCGCGGUCAUGAGGCUGUGGACCAUAAGCAGAAGGUGGAGACCAUCAUUAAAAACCUCAAGACCAUCUCUAAGGAGGUGAGGCGGAUGAAAGAGCAUGCUCAGUUACUGCUUUGUGACCUGACUGUGCAGCUGGAGCAGCCUUUGAAGACAAAGCACAUAAAGGAACCAAAAGAACCCAACAACUCCGUCUGACGUUUCCCAUCACCGUUUUAUUGUGCUGACUUUGUUACUAAGCUAAAUAGCUGAAUGAUUGAGUUUACCAAUACACUUCUAUCAUUAAAAGAGUUCUGAAUAAACGCUUCAUAUUUCUGAA